CUGGAGACUCUACGGGAGGCAGCAGUGAGGAAUAUUGGUCAAUGGGCGAGAGCCUGGACCAGCCAAGUCGCGUGAAGGAUGACUGUCUUAUGGAUUGUAAACUUCUUUUAUACGGGAAUAACAAGAGCCACGUGUGGCUCCCUGCAUGUACCGUAUGAAUAAGCAUCGGCUAACUCCGUGCCAGCAGCCGCGGUAAUACGGAGGAUGCGGGCGUUAUCCGGAUUUAGUGGGUUUAAAGGGUGCGUAGGCGGCCGGGUAAGUCAGCGGUGAAAUCUAGGAGCUUAACUCCUAAAUUGCCAUUGAUACUGGCGGGCUUGAGUGUAGAUGAGGUAGGCGGAAUGCGUAGUGUAGCGGUGGAAUGCAUAGAUAUCACGCAGAACUCCGAUUGCGAAGGCAGCUUACUAAGGUACAACUGACGCUGAAGCACGAAAGCGUGGGUAUCAAACAGGAUUAGAUACCCUUGUAGUCCU
rnacentral:rRNA from 1 species